UACUGUCUUGUAGACCGAGAGACGACUUCCAUCUAUAAAAGGAGAGAGAAGAUGGGCUUUCAUGAGGUCGAGAUGGUCUUAUCCCAAACGUCAGUCGUAGGGUUUGGACCACUGCUACUCCAUUUCUUUUGUCUCACCUUCUUCACCUCUCUUCUUUACUCUUGUUGUUUCUCUUGUUCUUUUCCUCUCUGUCUCUCUCUCUCUUACACUUAUAAUUUCACGUAUAAUUGCGAUCCAGACUCUGUUUGCUUCUUCCAAAUCUAUAGGGUUGAGAGAGAUGACAAAUCAGGAAGUUUUUCUUUGAGGGGAAUGUUGUCUGGCUCGAGGACACUUUCGACUCACCUCUCUGUGGAAGAGACCUCGGACCAGGCUUCAUUCCCCCCAAUCACAGCUUCCGUCUCCACCAACUCACUGCAUAUGUUUGAAUCGCAGAUCUGCAGCACAACAUUUCACCUCUUCUCCAUCCCCAAGACAGAAGAAGAACAUCGAGCAAAAGACACCAUAGGAAAAUGAGCCAUAAAGCUAAUGCCGACAGUACUUGCAGAUAGCUGUUUAAUCACAGUACAUGAGUAGGUCCUGCGGUCAAACAUGUUAGGGUUAGAGAGAAACAAGCUUAGUGGUGUCGUUCACCGGCAACCUUGUCCUAUUGGUGUAUACACCAUGGGAAUAUGGUGAUGGCAACCUCUCUCUCUCUUUGGCAGGAAGCUCUCGACUCUUGCUCGCUCCUUCUCUUACCAUCAGGCAUGUUCUUGGGAUGGGGAGUGAUGCCUUUUGUGCGUUGGGGAAUAUGAGCUUUAUCUUGGAUUUUGAUAUGCUUUAUUAUGGGAGUCUCACGUCCACAACUUUCCAUGGCUGAUUGCAACUCUUCACACUUGGAUGGGAAUAGGAAUGUUAGAUCGUGCACACACACAAGAAAAGGAAAACAAGUGGCACUGUGAUGCUUGGCUUGCUUUUUCCUUCUUCUUCUUCUUCUUCUUCUUCAUCUUCUUCAUCUUCUCUACAGACACUGAAGGAUGUGGAAAAGAAUGAAGGUUCUGCCUGUUUUGACUUCACAGUGACUUGCUUUAACACUAUCAUGUGUUCCUGAGAUUUCUUGUACUUGCUAUGUUAGCUAAUUCAUGUUCUAAGCCUUGACAAUUUGGAUCUCUUUAUAAUUCUCGAUGACUCAGCUAUCAUGAUCUAUUAUUCUCUUCUCGCA